rnacentral:rRNA from 1 species
CGUAACAAGGUCUCCGUUGGUGAACCAGCGGAGGGAUCAUUACCGAGUUUACAACUCCCAAACCCAAUGUGAACGUUACCAAACUGUUGCCUCGGCGGGGUCACGCCCCGGGUGCGUCGCAGCCCCGGAACCAGGCGCCCGCCGGAGGAACCAACCAAACUCUUUCUGUAGUCCCCUCGCGGACGUAUUUCUUACAGCUCUGAGCAAAAAUUCAAAAUGAAUCAAAACUUUCAACAACGGAUCUCUUGGUUCUGGCAUCGAUGAAGAACGCAGCGAAAUGCGAUAAGUAAUGUGAAUUGCAGAAUUCAGUGAAUCAUCGAAUCUUUGAACGCACAUUGCGCCCGCCAGUAUUCUGGCGGGCAUGCCUGUCCGAGCGUCAUUUCAACCCUCGAACCCCUCCGGGGGAUCGGCGUUGGGGAUCGGGACCCCUCACACGGGUGCCGGCCCCGAAAUACAGUGGCGGUCUCGCCGCAGCCUCUCCUGCGCAGUAGUUUGCACAACUCGCACCGGGAGCGCGGCGCGUCCACGUCCGUAAAACACCCAACUUUCUGAAAUGUUGACCUCGGAUCAGGUAGGAAUACCCGCUGAACUUAAGCAUAUCAAAGGCGGGAGGAAA